GCCUAACAUACAUUAAUUAUAUCCAUUAACUACUGUAAAAUUACACACAAAUGUAUUUGUAAUGUGAUACUGAUGACCGUUUGACUGGUUGCUGAAAUUGGGAAAUGUUGGACAUUAUACUUUAGAAUUUGUUAUAAAAGAAGUAUUGCUAAUGGGGAAAAUCCCAGCCGUGCUAAAUGUAAAAAAAACCUACCAGGAAGUUUAUAAUAAAGUCCUGUACAUAGUUUUUUGGUGUGUAAGUCUUACUGUCUGUCUGU